CUUGUGGCCCAAUGGAUAAGGCGCCUGACUAUGGCUCAGGAGAUUCCAGGAUUGAGUCCUGGCAGG
rfam:Nematostella vectensis strain CH2 x CH6 NEMVEscaffold_25_Cont4526, whole genome shotgun sequence.